AAACAAAACCAUCCCCACAUUGCCCUGGAAAUGCUGUUCAGCAAACUCUGUUACUCACAUUGCUGUUCGCUCUAUCAAGGUGAUGGCUUUGUGUGAACUGGGCAGUGGAGGACACACUGCCACUCCUCCGCUCACUAAUACAGAUAGAUCUGCCCUCCACCAGUAUACAAGGCCGAGGCUCCUGCAUCAUCAGUGAAGCAGUGAAGUGUGUUGAAGCAGCAUUAGGAAACUGGUCAGAAGGAACAAGUGGCAGAGUUUGAGAACAUUGUGAGAAGUCUUCAGAAACCAACAUAAUUUCUGAUA